UACGUAGGGGGCUAGCGCUGUCCGGAUUUAUUGGGCGUAAAGAGCGUGUAGGCGGCCAGGUAGGUCUGCUGUGAAAACUCGAGGCUCAACCUCGAGACGUCGGCGGAAACCAUCUGGCUAGAGUCCGGAAGAGGAGAGUGGAAUUCCUGGUGUAGCGGUGAAAUGCGCAGAUAUCGGGAGGAACACCAAUGGCGAAGGCAGCUCGCUGGGACGUUACUGACGCUGAGACGCGAAAGCGUGGGGAGCAAACAGG
rnacentral:rRNA from 1 species